GACGAACGCUGGCGGCGUGCUUAACACAUGCAAGUCGAACGGACAGGCAGAGAGCUUGCUCUCUUGAAGUUAGUGGCGAACGGGUGAGUAACGCGUAAUCAACCUGCCCUUCAGAGGGGGAUAACAACGGGAAACCGUUGCUAAUACCGCGUACGAUUCAUGAACGGCAUCGUUUAUGAAUGAAAGGUGGCCUCUAUGUAUAAGCUAUCGCUGAAGGAGGGGAUUGCGUCUGAUUAGCUAGUUGGAGGGGUAACGGCCCACCAAGGCAAUGAUCAGUAGCCGGUCUGAGAGGAUGAACGGCCACAUUGGGACUGAGACACGGCCCAGACUCCUACGGGAGGCAGCAGUGGGGAAUCUUCCGCAAUGGACGAAAGUCUGACGGAGCAGCGCCGCGUGAGUGAUGAAGGUCUUCGGAUUGUAAAGCUCUGUUAAUCGGGACGAAAGAGUUCUGCGUGAAUAAUGCAGAAAAGUGACGGUACCGGAAUAGAAAGCCACGGCUAACUACGUGCCAGCCGCCGCGGUAA
rnacentral:rRNA from 1 species